GAUGAACGCUGGCGGCGUGCCUAAUACAUGCAAGUCGAGCGAACGGACGAGAAGCUUGCUUCUCUGAUGUUAGCGGCGGACGGGUGAGUAACACGUGGAUAACCUACCUAUAAGACUGAGAUAACUUCGGGAAACCGGAGCUAAUACCGGAUGAUAUUUUGAACCGCAUGGUUCAAAAGUGAAAGACGGUCUUGCUGUCACUUCUAGAUGGAUCCGCGCUGCAUUAGCUAGUUGGUAAGGUAACGGCUUACCAAGGCAACGAUACAUGGCCGACCUGAGAGGGUGAUCGGCCACACUGGAACUGAGACACGGUCCAGACUCCUACGGGAGGCAGCAGUAGGGAAUCUUCCGCAAUGGGCGAAAGCCUGACGGAGCAACGCCGCGUGAGUGAUGAAGGUCUUCGGAUCGUAAAACUCUGUUAUUAGGGAAGAACAUAUGUGUAAGUAACUGUGCACAUCUUGACGGUACCUAAUCAGAAAGCCACGGCUAACUACGUG
rnacentral:rRNA from 1 species